rnacentral:lncRNA from 1 species
GUUUAAGGGUGGAGUCAUGUUCAUACUUCCCAUUUUUUCCAAUAAACAAAUGUGUCACAAGGUCAUAGAUUUAGAACUAGAAUUGACCUCAGAGACCAGAAUUCAACCUGCUCAUUUACAGAUGAGGAAACUGAGGACCAGAGGGGUUAAGUGAUUUGCCUGAUGUCACCCAGGCAGUAAGUGUGAGAGGCAGGAUUUGAAAUGAGAUCUUCAGAGCUCUUUCCAUUGGACUACACUGCCUGAAGCGUGAACUGCUAGAGAGCCUAUAUUGACAGCAUCUACUCAGGGAGCCCAGAGCCCUGUCUGACUAAAAGAACAGAUGGACAUUGAAGCUACUGAUUCCAUUGCAGAUGACCAGCAAUUCUUCGGGUACCGAGGCCUCUUCUCCAAGGCAAAGAUGCGAUUACACCCUGGGAUACAGCUAAUGGUCCAUGGAGCCCUCAUCUUCCUGUCCUUGGUUUUGGUCAUAUCCCUCGUGAUUGUGGCCACUCAAUGUGAGUAAUUUCAAGAGUUCCUAGCUAUGGUUCUAUAGGGCUUGCUCUAUCUCAAAUUGGUGGGGAGUUCUGCUUCUCCCUGGGGGAUAGGGGUGUCACUGUGGUAGCAGAAAUGGUCAGGGACGUGCAGAACACAGAAGAGUUAGAAGAGGUCCUAGGAGGAGCUUGGAACUUGACCUGGGCCUUGGUUGGGCAUCAUUCUUUUUUUUUUUUUU